rnacentral:rRNA from 1 species
UACGGAAUGUGCAAGCGUUAUUCGGAAUCACUGGGCUUAAAGAGUCCGUAGGCGGCAUGUUAGGUGAGGUGUGAAAUCCCCCGGCUCAACCGAGGAAUUGCGCUUCAAACCGGCGUGCUUGAGGAAGAUAGAGGUGGGCGGAACUGAUGGUGGAGCGGUGAAAUGCGUUGAUAUCAUCAGGAACACCGGAGGUGAAGGCGGCCCACUGGGUCUUUUCUGACGCUGAGGGACGAAAGCUAGGGGAGCGAACGGG